AGUGUAUUGAUCAGCGUGGAGCUUCAGCAUGGGUGUUUGACCUUACAACUCGGCAUUGAUCAAUCGUGGUUGUAGAGUCAUGCACCUCUGCCGACUCUCCGGCUCUGUGUACUGCU
rnacentral:pre_miRNA from 1 species